UACGAAGGUCCCAAGCGUUGUUCGGAAUCACUGGGCGUAAAGGGAGCGUAGGCGGCGUGGUAAGUCAGAUGUGAAAUCCCGGGGCUCAACCCCGGAACUGCAUCCGAUACUGCCAUGCUUGAGGGUUGGAGAGGUAGCUGGAAUUCUCGGUGUAGCAGUGAAAUGCGUGGAUAUCGAGAGGAACACUCGUGGCGAAGGCGAGCUACUGGACAACAUCUGACGCUGAGGCUCGAAGGCUAGGGGAGCGAACGGG
rnacentral:rRNA from 1 species